CGUCCGGGAGGCGGGAGGGAGGGCUGGGAUACAGUCCUCAGGAAGUUUAACUCAACUUUCCGCUGAGUCCGCCGGGGGCGGGUGUCCAGGCUCGACUUUGAUCCCGGCGGCCGCGCCGAGGCCAGCAUUGCCACAACAGGAAAAAUGGCAGCUGUAAGGUAUGAACAAGGGACAGAGUCGGGAGAAGCAUACUGCUCUCCAACAGCAGAAGAGGCCACAGUGAAGAUUGAUAAUGGUCGUGAUGAAGAUAAUGGACCAGACACCUGUACCAAUGCAACUAGGAGAAAAAUCUCCCCAUUUGUGAUGUCAUUUGGAUUCAGAGUAUUUGGAGUUGUACUUAUCAUUGUGGACAUUGUAGUUGUGAUUCUGGAUCUGGCUAUCAGUGAGGAAAAGAAGAGUUCAGAGAUUCCCGAAGCUAUUUCCUUGGCAAUAGCACUCUUCUUUCUCGUCGAUGUUCUCCUGAGGGUAUUUGUUGAAGGCUUCAGGAGCUAUUUCCAAUCUAAACUGAAUAUUUUGGAUGCGUGUAUAGUGGUGGGCACUCUCUUAAUUAAUUUGAUGUACUCCAUCUUUGACCUUGAYGCAGCAGAGGAGAUACCAAGAAUGGUUAUUUUCCUCCGAGUUCUGAGAAUUGUCAUCUUGAUAAGAGUAUUUCGUCUGGCUUCACAAAAGAAGCAACUUGAAGUGGUGACCAGGAGGAUGGUCUCUGAAAACAAAAGGCGUUAUAUGAAAGAUGGCUUUGACCUGGAUCUCACUUAUAUUACUGAUCGAAUUAUUGCAAUGUCAUUUCCAUCUUCUGGGAAGCAGUCUUUCUACAGAAACCCCAUUAAGGAAGUUGCAAGAUUUUUGGACACUAAACAUCCAGACCACUAUAAAGUCUACAAUCUCUGCAGUGAAAAAGGCUAUGAUCCCAAGUACUUUCACUACAGGGUGGAAAGGAUCUUCAUUGAUGACCACAAUGUCCCAGCACUGCAGGACAUGCUGAAGUUCACUGCCAAUGUCCGUGAAUGGAUGAGUCAAGAUGAGAAGAACGUCAUAGCAAUUCACUGUAAAGGAGGCAAAGGCAGGACUGGAACAAUGGUCUGUACCUGGCUCAUAGAUAGUGACCAGUUUGAGAGUGCAAAGGAAAGUUUAGACUACUUUGGGGAGAGAAGAACUGAUAGAAGCACAAGUACCAAGUUUCAAGGAGUUGAAACUCCUUCCCAGAGUAGGUAUGUUGGGUAUUAUGAGAUCCUGAAAAACAAGUAUAACUUGACACUUCCACCAGAGAGACAACUCAAAAUAAAAAAUCUCAAAAUCCACACUAUACAUGGAAUUGGGAAAGGCAAUGGAAUUGAUAUGAAGGUGCAGAUAAUAACAAGGAAGCAAGUUGUACUACAAUGUGUAUGUGCCAAUCAAAAAAACUGCAAGCACUUCUUUGAUUCUGAAAGGGACUGUGUAGUCAUUGGCUUGGAAGACUGCCCUGUGCUAAGUGGYGAUGUGAAAAUCAGAUUUGAAUCAGAUUCUAAUCUCCCGAAAGGCUAUGAUGGCUGCCCGUUCUUUUUCUGGUUCAACACUUCCUUUAUUGAAAACAACAGACUCUACCUUCCCAGGAAUGAGCUGGAUAACCCUCACAAGUCUAAAACAUGGAAAGUCUAUAGUGAGACGUUUGCUGUGGAGGUGAACUUUAUUGAUCCAUAAGGGAAAUCUGAAAGAAGGGAAACAUGUAAAAUUAAUCUCUUUCCUGGAGAAUGUCUUGCUGUUUCAGUAUAAAGGGAAUGUCACUUGGAUGUAGUUAAUGUAUUUCUGUGUAGAUACAAUUUCUCAAAUAAAGUUACAUGAAGUUCUGUUGUGCAGGGCAACAAUACUCUGAAGAGUUAUUUAGCGUCAGUUGACUGUCACAUCAUGGGCUGUUGGAUCCUUGGAGUUUAGAUAUCUCUGCAUACAGGUAAUUCCUGUUUGAGUAAUCUAAGACAAUUACCUGUCUUUAAGCAUGAGCAUUAGCAUUAUGGUGGGUGAAGAUCAGCUGUCUGCAUGAGACUGRAAAAAUCUGACAUGCCUCCUUCAGCAUUGGAGUUUUCCACAGAUCAGUAGAAUGGGAAUUUUGAGGGAGAYGUAAUUAUCUUACUGUGUAGGAUUACUGCUUCUUUAGCAGAAGCCUUGGCAUUGAACUGCUCUUUUAUCAGGAAGCAGUGAUGUCAGGCUUUGAGCAACACAUGGCCUGGGAGCUGCUGUAACUCCCCUCAAAGGGCUGUGAUGGCCACUUGCCCUAAGGCUUAAGUAUAGCUGCCAUCAGAUCCUGAGCAUUCCARUUGCCUGGGAUCAGUUAGUGUGGCUGCCUCAAUACCUGCAUGUGAGUGGUUUGAUCUGAUUUGAGAAAAGAAUGCAAAUUUGAGCACUGUGAUUUGAGCAAAUAGUGCARAUGCUCACUGGCCCCUCUUGAGCUAUACUAAGACCUGUAAUGCACAAACUUCCAGGAUGCUUAUUCUUCUUCCAACUAUUCUCAGCAUUGUAGCUCUUCUGUGGAGACUGUAUCUUCAUAUAUGUGAAACAUGUUAAGGUGUUAGCUUCAUUAGUCUUUUUGUUGUUAGGAAUCAAAAAGUAGAAGGCAAGCAACAUAGCUUUCCAGUUAAUAUAGUAAGCAGGGAGGUCAAUUACCUUUCCUGUGCUUACUUGAAGGUAGYGGUGUGGUGUACUAUGAAGUAUACCAUGUGUGGGCUCAACUUUUGCUAUUGCUCUAUAUUUACCUAAUAUUCAGGAGCUGGGCUCAYGAAAGCUGCUUCUAUCAGCACUGUACUUCAAGUGUGGAGGCUGAAGCCAGUUUUGAAAGACUAACACUGUCACACCAAUUGUUUAUAGUUCUAGGUGCAGGACAGAAUGUGCCUGGGUCACUUAAAUACAUGAAGUCCAAGUUCCUGUGCAAAACAAUCCCAGAUAGAGCUGGCUCAUCCAAUCUCAUUCAGUUCUGUCUCCACAGAUAGGAUUUUUUUAUGCAAUACUUAAUCUUGUAGCUGCUUUUUUUUUUCUUCCAGGCUGGAAUUUCCCUUAUUCCAAGUUGUACUUGUUACAUCUUGUCCUGCCCCUGUAAGCCUCUGCAAAGAGCCUAGCUCUAUCCCCWUUGGGCAUUCUAUUUGCUCAUGAAUGAUGCAAAUGUAGACUCUUCAGCUUUCUAUAAGGGGUGAACAAACUAUUUUCGUUGCCCUCGGCUUGACUUGCUCCUAUAUGUCAACACCUUUCUUGUGGUGGGGAACAUGGAACUGGAUGUGGUCUUCUGUGUCUGCUCUAACAGAUGUGAGAGGUACGAGCAGAGGGUCACAACUGUCUUACCUGCUGGCUCCGGAGCCUGCUUUAGCASCUUAGCCUUUACUGCAAGGGUGUGCUGGCUCAUGUUCAAUUCCUGUGAUGCCAUUCCCCAAACUUUAGUGUUGCUAUGGAGCCAACUGCCCCUCAAGGUUAAGUGGUGCUGGCAAAGUUAAUGCAAGACCCACCUCUGUGGCCUGAGAAAAGGAAGUAAUACCCACUCACACAGAUGUGAGACACUAGAGGGCAAAAGGGCGAGCAGGCAUUUUGUAAGGCCUCAGUAUCCACAUAAAUGUGGCUAGGGGCUAAAAGAGGAUGCCCUUUAAUUGCAGCUAGAAGUGGCUGAUGACCAAGUUCAUUUUGGCUUAGCUCAGGCAAUUGGAUAUCACUGUCCUAGGAUGCCCUUUUUCAUGGCAGGGCACUUAAGGUGACCCAUCUUCCUGCACAUGGAGUAAGCCAGUUUUCUCAGAUAACAGCAGCAAGUCGGAUUUUUCCAGCUGAAGCACAUGCUGUUAAGUAAAAACUAUUGURUAAGCAAGAAUGAGGAACUGAAUAGCUGUACAAGGGCUAUACCACGUUUCUCUUGGGAGAUCCAAUCAUCACUGCUUAGAAGAUGGUAACAAUAGGCCCUGCACUCCGUGUUGCAUUGAUCUUCACAGGAUAGUGGAGACUCAUCCCUUACAUAUGUGGAAUUUAAGUGACCUAAGCUGGAAAUAAGUCUSUAUCAUGGUAAUCUAGAAACUUGGAAUUUGAGGUAAUACAAGAACUGACUUUGGUACUAACAAAGCAACAGGCCAAGUGUUCAGCUAUGGGCUUCAUUUUCCAUAUAUGUAAAAUCAGCAAUUUCACAGUGCCUUGCUCCACCUACCCCCUUCCCUUGUGUUUUGAGGGCUUCAUGUGUUCAUUGAUAGUAUAGUCUUUAAUUUCAGAGARGUAGUGAUGCUGAAUUCAACCUCUCUUUGUUUCUCAGCUAGCUUGUUAAAUGGCAUGAAUAAUCACCAGGAACUCAGUUAAUCAAAUGAAACUUUAUUUCUGUGAAUUCCUAUACCAACAUUAUGAAGUUUUUAGCUGGACAGCUGAUACAUGUGUACAGCUUAAGCAGCUCUGAAUGGAAAAAUUACUGCUUACAUUAACUUCAGAAGGUAAACUCUCAAAAAUGCCACCAGCUUCUUGCUAUAGGUUGUUUUAAAUAUCCUGCUUCUCUUGAAGCUUCAACUUUUGUAUUAAAAACUGCAACCAUGAGCUUUAAAAAAUGAAAGCAAAGACAAAUCUAAGAAAUAGAUUGAAGUAUUUUGCUGAUGUGGAGUCAGUCGUCACCUUUUAAUGACUACUAGAAACAUGUACAAAUAUACUAUUUCUCUUAGCUAGACAACUUUGAAAAGACGGGAAGUCUAACAACUCUUAAAGCCUCAUCCUCCUCCCUGAAUGAUUUAAACAUUUGAUAUAAAUUCCUUUUCAAGUACUGGCAGUGYAGAGUAUUGCUGCCCCUUGUGUGUACCAGUCAAUCAAAGUGAAUUGGUAUAAUAGACACUGAAGAUUCUUCACCUAUGCCCUGCYUUAACUGCCUUUUCUCAUGGUGUGUGAAAGGGGGAUCAAUUGUUCCUUCUGCACUUGGAGGCUGAGGAGCAAGAUUUUGUGGAACUGCAGCAACAACCUACCAUCAAAGAGUCUGCAACAAUGCAAGGAAUGAGCCAGUUUAAGUGCACUCUGAUUCUACUGCAAGAGAUUGCAGUUACCUAAAGUGCUUGCACAAAGGCUCAUCAGAAAAAAUGUCUGAUUGAAAGCAGUGGGACAAUAUACAGUCUGUAGAAAGCAGGACUGCAGUACUGUUGGAAGAUUUAGCUCAACCCCUAAUACAGUGAAGCUUGCGCUUUAUUUACCAUUAAAUCAUGUGCUGCCUGCCAUAAC